rnacentral:lncRNA from 1 species
UCCUCCUUCAUCACAAUUUGAAACUUACCCUUAUAUGUAUCCAAUGAAACCCCAUCCGCCCGCUUCUGCAUUCGAUACUUCUGUGCCGAGCAGUUUCACUUAUCCACACCCUACGAACCCUCUUUCAACCUCAUCUGACUCUCCAACCUGCUACCCUCCUCCUGCAAACCCCUCGCUCACACCGCCAUCGUCUCUGACACAUAGCUUGCCGAACAAUUUCUCUUAUCCACACCCUCCAUCUACCUCAUCUGACUCUCCAACCUGCUACCCUCCUCCUGCAGACCCCUCGCUCACACCGCCAUCUUCUCUGACACAUAGCUUGCCUACCAAUUCUUCUUAUACAUAUCCUACAAUCCCUCCUUCAACAUCAUCUGGCUCUCCAACCUCCUACCCUCCUUCUGCAAACUUC